rnacentral:rRNA from 1 species
UAGGGAAUCUUCGGCAAUGGACGGAAGUCUGACCGAGCAACGCCGCGUGAGUGAAGAAGGUUUUCGGAUCGUAAAGCUCUGUUGUAAGAGAAGAACGAGUGUGAGAGUGGAAAGUUCACACUGUGACGGUAACUUACCAGAAAGGGACGGCUAACUACGUGCCAGCAGCCGCGGUAAUACGUAGGUCCCGAGCGUUAUCCGGAUUUAUUGGGCGUAAAGCGAGCGCAGGCGGUUAGAUAAGUCUGAAGUUAAAGGCUGUGGCUUAACCAUAGUACGCUUUGGAAACUGUUUAACUUGAGUGCAGAAGGGGAGAGUGGAAUUCCAUGUGUAGCGGUGAAAUGCGUAGAUAUAUGGAGGAACACCGGUGGCGAAAGCGGCUCUCUGGUCUGUAACUGACGCUGAGGCUCGAAAGCGUGGGGAGCAAACAGGAUUAGGUACCCUGGUAGUCCACGCCGUAAACGAUGAGUGCUAGGUGUUGGGUCCUUUCCGGGACUCAGUGCCGCAGCUAACGCAUUAAGCACUCCGCCUGGGGAGUACGACCGCAAGGUUG